GAUUGAACGCUGGCGGAAUGCUUUACACAUGCAAGUCGAGCGGCAGCGCGGGGGCAACCCUGGCGGCGAGCGGCGAACGGGUGAGUAAUACAUCGGAACGUGUCCUUGAGUGGGGAUAGCUCGGCGAAAGCCGGAUUAAUACCGCAUAAGCUCUGAGGAGGAAAGCGGGGGACUGGUAACGGCCUCGCGCUGUUGGAGCGGCCGAUGUCGGAUUAGCUAGUUGGUGGGGAAAGGCCCACCAAGGCGACGAUCCGUAGCUGGUCUGAGAGGAUGAUCAGCCACACUGGAACUGAGACAC
rnacentral:rRNA from 1 species